AUGCAUGAGCACUCCAAGACAAACACCCAGGAACUCAACCAUUCCCUAAUCCCUAGACAUGAACUCGACCAUUCCCUAGAGAUGAAGAUCGAAAGAGGACGACGAGAAAAGAAGAGUUUUAACGCUCAGACCGUCGGUCGAUCACCGCAUAGCUCCUGUCAGCGCUACCGAGCCGAGGUUUCCCGACUCCUCUCCUCUGCGUGCAUGGAUCAGGUAGGAGCAGCAGUCUUACUUGCGGUGAAGGGGAGGCGCGCCGUCGAUCGUAUGUGCCGGCGUCGCUCGGAUCAAAGACCGCACGCCGAGGCCCUGGAUGGGUCGACGACCACGGGAGACAUGACGAUGGAUCGAUCGGAGCGACGGUGGGCGAGGAGGAGCUUCUCCGACGGGCUCGAGCUCGAGUCUGAGGCAGCGUGGAUUUUGUUAAGUUUUGCCGAUGCCAAUUCACCAACUACUCGUGGCCACUGGCCAGGCACUGGGCUGACAGAAUCUGUGGUGCUGGAGGGUGCCAGUGAUAGAAGUGGCUCAUCAAAACAGACCGAUCGAGCCCCACGUAGCCAGUUGUCCCCAGCUCGCACCCACGCCCCCGCUCGCCCCCACGCCUCAGCCCCUCCCACGCUGCCUUUUUCUUCUUCUUCACGCCAGAAGCAGAUCCAAAAGAAAUCGCCCCCAACCCUUCUUCCUCCUCCUACACAGCCGCCAUGGGAGCCCCAAAGCAGUAAGAUCAAGCAGGUAAGCCCCCUCUGCACCUCUUCACUUCCCCCUUUCUUCUACUGCAUAGGCAUAUGUAAACCCCCUUCUCCAUGGAUCCAUGGAGAAUCUGCUUCAAAAAAGAGGGAGUGUGUGGCAGCAUCCAAGAACAAGGAAAAAAUGCUUGAUCUCAAUGAGUUGCCUCCAGAUCUCAAUGAGCUUCCUCGUGAUAUGGAUCAGCAGCAACCCAGCAUACAACAAGGAAAUUGGACAGAAAAUGGUCGAUCUGUUUACUACACGCAGGCAAGUCGUGAUGGUAACCCUACGGGCCAUGACAAUGUGGCAGGCCAGUCAUCAGCCCGUGGUGCCCCUGUAGUGGUGUCUUUACAGUCACAGAGCCAUACUCUUGAUGACACAGGAACCGAGGCAAAUGUUCCUGGUCCAACCAGGACUGAGCUAGAAGCUGGGGCUGUUGACAGAGCUGUGCAAGUGAUGUCAACCCUCAAGGACCUCCUCCCCCUCCUGGCUGUACACGGCAUCCUCCGCCACCUCCUCCCCCGCGUGCUCCUCCCAAUGGCCCUACAGGCAGCACUCAGGGGGCUCGUCGUCCAGGUAAUUACCUGCCCCCAACUCCCCAUCAAACUAGGUGAUGCCAACCCUCAAAGACCUCCUCCCCCGCCAGGCCCAACUAGCAGUGCCCUUUGUGCUACUCCCAAUGGACCUAUAGGCAGCACUCAGGGGGCUCAUCACCCAGGCGACUACAAUCCAAGUACCAUGACAGGCCGUGCUACUGCAGGUGAUCGUGACGGUCCUACUGCCCCGUUGGAGGCUGCAUCCCUUGCACAAGCUUCUGAUGAUUUUGUGCCCAGGGAUCCUCCAAGGUCUACUACAAAGGGUAGGGCAAAGAGUCGACGAUACAAAUCGGCGCUGGAGCUACACCCAAAGAAGAAAAACAAAUGCAGUCGGUGCCAAUCUACAGAGCACACUGCUGGUGUGUGUCCACGGAGGCUCCUGUGA
rnacentral:rRNA from 1 species